CUCCCCAUCUCUCUCAAUCUCUCCAUCUCGACUCCAGAGAAAAAUCAUCAACUCCCCAUCUCUCUCCCUGCCCAUCCUCGUUUGGCCGAGCGGUGGUCCAAGGCCCUCCCUAUCCACGCACCACCUUCAUUCCUCUCUCAAUCACGACCUCCCCUUCUCUCUCUCUCUCUGAAGCUCGAUUGAAUUAGAUUCACGAACGCGAGUUGUGCAGUUUGGAUUCACUCAAAGAUGCCCCAUGCAUGUGUUUUAUGCAAGAAUGUUGGCGAUCGUAGGCCCCAGUUUUGGAUGGCGAUCGUAAUUUACGAGCUCGGUUUUGUCAAGGAUUAGGGACUUCAGUGAAUGGGCUCAGUGUCUUUUACUUGACUUGGUCUCCAGAUAUAUCCCCUCAGAUAGCAAUGAGAUAUUUGACAUAAUAAAUCUCCUUGAGGAUAGGCUUCAGCAUAGCAACAACCAAGUUGUUUCUACAUUUGACAAUGUCCAUGACUGAUGUCCAUCAACAGAUAUUGUUGCUGUUUGUUUCGAACCUCAUAACAGCUGGUUACAUUGAGCAAUCACUUUGGGAGGUAUGCAUUUAUGUUUUGAAUUUUUAUAGAUGAUGUUUGUACCUGAAUGUGCGCUGUUUCUUAUGUUUAUUGUGACUUUUUUCUCCAUCCCUGAAAUGGCAAUGGAUAUUCUUCAGGAAUGCUUACUUUUAUUUGAUUUCUAUUUUUCAGUAGUUUUGCUUGUUUUGUUGUGUAGGUUACUCCAGAAAUGCCCCUCCCAAGGACUACUCCAUAGAACCUAGGAAGUCUUGUAUGUAUAUAUGUCAACUAUGAUUGUGACAGGCAAAGGCAAUAAUCCAGGAAAACAAAUGGGUCCACUAUGCCCAGUAUCGUAUUGUUUGUUGGCGCAACCGAUACGCCCACGGAUAUUGUUAUUCAAAACCUUGGGCUCACCUGAUGAGUUGCCAGCCUGAUUUUUUGGCCUGGUCAUCAAUAAGGCGGUGCCUACCUGAUGAUAGCUAGGAUGUUCCAACACAUUGCUCUAAGUAUCAAUACUUCUUAUCAUAUGUAAGAUCAAGGUGCUCCCACUUCUAAAUCUGAACUCUGUUAUGGUUGGCUCUAAGAGCUCAUGUAGAAAAGGAAGGUUAAUGUCUGUUAGACAACUGUUCCUACCUAAUGUGUCUUACUGGUACACAACCCCUUUACUAGUAUUAGUGUAACAGAUUAGUAAGUUCAGUCACUAUUAAGCAACAAAAAAACAACAAUUUUACCUUGGGUAAUAAAAAGAAAAAGACUCAAGGCAAUCCUAGAUACCAACUACAUAAAAGAUGGAGUAACUGAAAUCUACAGAAGCUGGAAUGUUAACAUAGACAAUUUGAACAACAUGAAAUGUAACCAUCAUAUUUAGAAUUCAAAAUUGUACUUCUGCAACUGUAUGUUGCUAGGAUCGGGUUUUGCACUUCCAAAACUAUUAAGUAGUGUUUAUCGGUUGACCAAAUAUCAGUUUGUAAAGGCAAUAUUGACAGGUAAAAGAAAAUCAUUAAAAUUGUUUAGGUAGUACAUAAGUUUUGCCGAAAAGAAAGAGAUAUUUAGAUUUUUUGCUAAUGGUUCGUGUUCUAUGUCUUUAUGCGGCCCUGUGUGAAGAUUCGGUUUAGAGUCUCAUCUUUUGCAGUUCACUUACUUGAGAAGGGAACACAGGGAUGAGCUAGGUAUACUGUGCACCCACAUUUGAAUCCAGCCCUCUAGGAAGCGGAGUCUUCAACAGUUUGAGCAGUGGGGCCUAUGGUUUUAAUGAUCCUGUCAUCAGUUUGUUUGGGCCACAAUAUGUAUGGGCAGUCACCCAAGCUGGAGGGUUAUGAAUUUACUUUCUUCAUUUUAUCUAUGGCAAGUGUUACAGGUAUAUCUGUUCAUCGCAUUCGACAUAUGUAAAAAGGUUAUCUAAUGAAAGGAAAAGGAGUGGACUUGGACAACAAUCGGUUUUUGAUUCUUCAGGUUGAGGUCGAGCAAAUUUCUCUAAUGAAGCCAAAGGCCCAAGGCCCUCACGAUGAAGGGUUUCUUGAGUAUCUUGAGGAUAUCAUUGGAACUAACCAAUACGUUGAAAAGAUCAAAGAAUCCAUUAAGGAGUAAGUUCUAUUCUCCUGUUUCUUAUGCUGUGAAAUAUAGUAUGUCUUCGCAUUCAAAUACGCACAUCCAUUUGUUGCCUGCUGGUCACAUGUAGGACUGUCAAUGAGCCAGGCCCAGGCCAAGCAAAAACAAAAUUUUAAUAGGACCUUCCUGACAGCUUGACCUUGCCAGUUUAGAGUCCAGGCUGAAGCCAGCCCUGGGUUAAGAGAAGCUAUCACCAGACUAUCAUACUAUCAUAUCCAUCUGAUUUAUGGGCUGCAUAUAGGUGGUUAUACCAAUGACCCUAUAAAAAUAGAGAUCUAAAAAUACCCAAGAAUUCUUUUAUUAGAGAUGGUACUGUUAUUACUCCUUGGUUGUCGUGAUUAAUGACCUUUUUAUAUAUAAUACAUUGUCAAUGAUGAUGAGGAAUUGGCGAGGGCCUCACAACCAUUGUUAUGUGAAAGUAACACAGUUUUGAAAUAGUGAUCGCUCAGUGGUCAUCAAGGACUGGAUAAAGCUCCACAGGUAAAAUCUGGAUCUUCUUCGAUUGUUUCAUCUGUUUCUUUUAACUAUUUAACUAUGCAUUGUUGAAUUCUUCCAAUGGGGUUAGAGGCCUUAUAGUCAAUCCUUGGUGUGGCAUGUGGGUGUGUUUAACUUAGAUGUAAAUAUUAUCAUGUAAUUCAAAACGAGCAGAAAAUAGGCAUCAAACCUGUUUUUCCAUAGGGUCGCCCAGACGCUUGAAAAUGGUGUUUUGUUGUUAUAGGUUGGCCUCAAGUACAAUGAGUCAGUAGUAAUAGUGGUAACUGGAUGCCCCAAUGGUUGUGCCAGGCCUUAUUUGGCUGAGCUUGGACUGGUUGGUGAUGGACCCAACAGCUACCGGGUAUUUCACAUGCUGAUUUUGUCAGAAACUAUGGAUCAAUGUUUGGGUUAUAAAGAAGUGUUCUGUAGCAGACAUAAGAGUGCAUCAUGUGACAAUUACCACUGUGGGCCCACUGGCAUGGACAUGCUGCAACAGGACAUUGUCGCAUCCGAAUGCAUCAUGGCCCUUCCAUUUUUUCCAUCAAAUGCUGUCCCUUUUUUGCCAAUGGUAGGCCCUUAAUGCAAAUGGAAGAUUUGAAUCCAACAAAUAAGAUAGACAUGAAGGAUAAUGAUUUCUUCAGGUGAAAUGUGGUUAGAGUUAUAGCUAACAAAUGUUACUCAGAAAUGUCUAUUGCAAUGUUAAUAUACACUAGUCUUAGUUUGCAUUUGCUAGCCUUCCCAAAGCCACACCAAUACCACUAUCAUACAAAAGUAAUAUCACUGUCUUUCAGGUCUCUGGACAAUUCUAAACCUUACAUUCCUGCCCUGUUUCCCAACGGUCAAAAACUUGAAAUGGGUCUCUAUCUCCUGCAUGAAAGAUCAAGAUCAACGGUCUUGAUCAUCGAAUUUGUGUACAGAAGCGGAGAUGAUAGAUAUGGACAAUCUACAAUAAUUGGAUCAUUUGGUAAAACUGGAGUACCCAACUCAGAUGCUUGGAUAUUUGUGUAAGCUCAAAGACGACUGCUGUGAUAAGAGCAUCUGAUGAUUUUUGGCCGAGAGUCCCAGCGUCACAUACAAUCCACAUUGCAUCUGUUGCCUACAACACCUUUUUCCUUGGAGAAUUCAUGCAGCCUGAUUGGGAUAUGUUUCAUCAUUGCAGGUUGCUGGUAAGGAGAAUGGCAUCACUGCAUUUCAGAUGGUGUUAAAAGUCAAGACAAAUCAAAUCAACAGAACUCUGUUUCUU